rnacentral:sRNA from 1 species
GUGACCCUGCGGUUAAAACCCGCGCGCUGCAGCAUCGCGGAAAACGGGAUUCGCCUCAUUUGAAACUUGAGGAAAAUCUCUAAACACUUUCAUUUUGAUAGAAACCAUUUCCGCCGCUGACGUGCGUCUACGCCCAUCAUUUCAGCUGACACGUUGCUGUAACGUCUCCUCCGUUUCAUGCUCUUUCGAACCCUGUCAGCUGCGGGAAGGAACUUCUAAACUAAAAGCUGGCAAGACUCAGCAGAAAAAAAAUAUCGAAAGCUGCUUCUGCUGCCCCAGCUUCACUCAGGCCCUGGCUGCUCCUUCACUGGUCUACACUGCUGCCUCCUGGAACCACCCACUCUGCAACCAGGUCUGAUGCCCGGUGUGGACAUUCAGGGAUGAGGUCCCCUGGGGCUAAAUGAAUGAACAGAUUCUGAAAAGCAGAAGCUACAUCCGGGGGUCUCUGGGCCACAAAUCACUUUCUGACCUGCAGCCGUGAGGCGUGAGGCUCACUCGGAAGCUCCCGGAACCUGGAGACUGCCCUCACUCAACACUUGAACAAGCAAGGGGCCAGGUUCAAUGAAACACCUGCCCGCCCGGCACACCAGGCUCAAAAGCAAGCAAGCAAGCAAACAAACAAACAAAAUCAAAUCAGGCCUUCACAACUCCCCAAAUCAUGUGUGAGUUUCUACAGAGCACAAGCCAAAAAUAUAUGUUAUCUAACUAGGUCCUAUUUACAUAUAUUUUUAUGGCUGCUCUAAAAAAUUAUCACAAACACAGCGGCUUCACCCCGUUUCCCCUGUUGUGAUUAUUACACAUUGGAUGCCUGUAUCAAAAUAUCUCAUGGACCCCAUAAAUAGCAACACCCUGUAUGUACUCAUGACAAUUUUUUAAAAAAGAACACUUACACUUUC